AGGACGAACGCUGGCGGCGUGCCUAACACAUGCAAGUCGAACGCGCUCCAUUCGGUAGCAAUACUGAUGAAGAGCGAGUGGCGAACGGGUGAGUAGCACGUGAGCAACCUGCCCCGAAGACCGGGACAACACCGGGAAACCGGUGCUAAUACCGGAUAUCCCUAUCGGACCGCAUGAUCUGAUAAGGAAAUGGAUUCCGCUUCGGGAGGGGCUCGCGGCCUAUCAGCUAGUUGGUGAGGUAACGGCCCACCAAGGCAUCGACGGGUAGCUGGUCUGAGAGGACGAUCAGCCACACUGGGACUGAGACACGGCCCAGACUCCUACGGGAGGCAGCAGUGGGGAAUCUUGCGCAAUGGGCGAAAGCCUGACGCAGCAACGCCGCGUGGAGGACGAAGGCUUUCUGAGUUGUAAACUCCUUUCAGCAGGGACGAUAGUGACGGUACCUGCAGAAGAGCACCGGCCAACUACGUGCCAGCAGCCGA
rnacentral:rRNA from 1 species